rnacentral:rRNA from 1 species
UACGUAGGGGGCGAGCGUUGUCCGGAAUCAUUGGGCGUAAAGCGCGUGUAGGCGGUUCGGUAAGUCUGCUGUGAAAGUCCAGGGCCCAACCCUGGGAUGCCGGUGGAUACUGCCGAACUAGAGUGCGGAAGAGGCGAGUGGAAUUCCCGGUGUAGCGGUGAAAUGCGUAGAGAUCGGGAAGAACAUCAGUGGCGAAGGCGGCCUGCUGGGCUGUUGCUGACGCUGAGGCGCGACAGCGUGGGGGAGCAAACAGG